GACGAACGCUGGCGGCGUGCCUAAUACAUGCAAGUUGAGCGCAGAGGGGUGGUACUUGUACCACCUGCAUGAGCAGCGAACGGGUGAGUAACGCGUGGGUAAUCUGCCUUUGAGCGGGGGACAACAUUUGGAAACGAAUGCUAAUACCGCAUAAUAACUUUAAACACAAGGUUUAAGAUUGAAAGAUGCAAUUGCAGCACUCAAUGAUGAUACCGCGUCGCAUUAGCUAGUUGGUUAGGGAAAGGCUUACCAAGGGAACGAUGCGUAACCGACCUGAGAGGGUGAUCGGCCACACUGGAACUGAGCCACGGUCCAGACUCCUACGGGAGGCAGCAGUAGGGAAUCUUCAGCAAUGGGCGAAAUCCUGACGGAGCAACGCCGCGUGAGUGAUGAAGGUCUUCGGAUCGUAAACCUCUGUUAUUAGGGAAGAACAAAUGUGUAAGUAACUAUGCACGUCUUGACGGUACCUAAUCAGAAAGCCACGGCUAACUACGUG
rnacentral:rRNA from 1 species